rnacentral:rRNA from 1 species
GAUCAUAGCUCAGGAUAAACGCUGGCGGCGUACAUAAGACAUGCAAGUCGAACGGAAGUCGUUGUAAUGAAAUGGAAAUGGACAGAGAACUUGUUCGAAGAAAAUUGAAGUAGACUUACAACAAUGGCUUUAGUGGCGGACUGGUGAGUAACGCGUAAGGAACCUGCCUUUUAGAGGGGAAUAACAAUGAGAAAUCAUUGCUAAUACCGCAUAUGCCGAGAGAAUCACAUGGUACAAUCGGGAAAGG